rnacentral:rRNA from 1 species
UACGGGGGGGGCAAGCGUUGUUCGGAAUUACUGGGCGUAAAGGGCGCGUAGGCGGCCUUCUAAGUCGGACGUGAAAUCCCUCGGCUUAACCGAGGAACUGCGUCCGAUACUGAAAGGCUUGAAUCCGGGAGAGGGAUGUGGAAUUCCAGGUGUAGCGGUGAAAUGCGCAGAUAUCGGGAGGAACACCUAUGGCGAAGGCAGCUCGCUGGGAUGUUACUGACGCUGAGACGCGAAAGCGUGGGGAGCAAACAGG